UACAGAGGUCUCAAGCGUUGUUCGGAUUCAUUGGGCGUAAAGGGUGCGUAGGUGGCGCCGUAAGUCAGGUGUGAAAUUUCGGAGCUUAACUCCGAAACUGCAUUUGAUACUGCGGUGCUUGAGGACUGGAGAGGAGACUGGAAUUCACGGUGUAGCAGUGAAAUGCGUAGAUAUCGUGAGGAAGACCAGUGGCGAAGGCGGGUCUCUGGACAGUUCCUGACACUGAGGCACGAAGGCCAGGGGAGCAAAACGGGG
rnacentral:rRNA from 1 species